rnacentral:rRNA from 1 species
UACGGAGGGGGCGAGCGUUGUUCGGAAUUAUUGGGCGUAAAGGGUGCGUAGGCGGUUUGAUAAGUCUGAUGUGAAAUCUAUGGGCUCAACCCAUAGCCUGCAUUAGAAACUGGCGGGCUUGAGUGUGGCAGAGGGGGGUGGAAUUCCGCGUGUAGCAGUGAAAUGCGUAGAGAUGCGGCGGAACACCGAUGGCGAAGGCAGCCCCCUGGGCUGAGAUUGACGCUCAGGCACGAAAGCGUGGGGAGCAAACAGG